rnacentral:lncRNA from 1 species
CAUACUCUACAGUAUUUACACCCAGCAACAACAUUUAAAAGCUUUUUUAUCCGUCGACGUCACUUCGUCUCUAUCCGGUCCACGGCGGCUACACCAGCGUGGAGCACGCCGACGUGUCGGGGUCGAACAGCGCCGGCAGCAGGUACUUCCUCCCCCUCGCGCCGUGCGCGUUGUAGCUGGCGCCCGUCGCCUUGUCCACGAGCAGCUCCCCGGCGUACCCGGGGUAGGCGCCCCUGCCGUACACCCCCGCGCACGCCGUGGCGGCCUCCAGCGGCGCGCCGCGGUCGCCCUGGUAGAACCCGUCCCCGAACGGGUUGGUGACCGCGCCGGCCACCACGGUGGCCACGUUGAUCACCACGCCGUCCAUGCCGGCGUCCCCGCUGGGCGGCACCAGCGGCGGCGCCUGUGGCCCGUACGCCGGCUGGUGGAACGGCCACGCGCACUGCCCCGGACACUGGUCGGCGGGGUUCCCCACCCACGCGUACGCCGCCCGGGACCGCGGGUCCGACCCGUGGUGCCCGCACCGGCUCAUGCAGAAGCCCUCCACCGCCACGUCCCGCGCCGUGAGCACCAGCGCGAUGCCGCCGCCGCCGGACGCCUUCGCAGGGCCACGCGCCCUGGCUGCCAGCGCCGGGAGCUGGGACAGCUUCAGGCUCUUCCCCAGCGAGCACCCCUCGUCGGAGACCUGGCGCGACAGGACGACCCGCGCGCUCCUGGCCACGGCGGCGCCGCCGUGUGCGCCGUUCUUGCUGACGGCCGCCGCCUUGGAGAGGUAGAGCUGGUUGAUGCUGCUCCACCACUGGGCGACGGACGGGGCGGGGGACGGCGGCGCCUCCCGCGGCGCGGGCGCGGCGGAGAGGGAGAGGAGGAAGUCGGAGACGACGGCCUUCUGCGCCGGCGUGAAGCGGCCGUACCAGAGGAUGGAUACGGGGAUGUCGCCGCUCAGCACCGCGCCGUUGUGGUACGUGAGGAGGUUCGGCUGUGGCUGGACCAGGAACGCCGCUGAUGGCGCGGCGCCCAUGGUUACGGCGAGCACCAUCAGUAGCAGGAGGAGCGCACUGUGCUUGGCCAUUGGGAGAAGGCUCUCGAGAGGUGCUAGAAUCUUGGAAGAAUCUUUAAUUCUCUAGCUCGGUGAGGCGGCGACUCAGUUUGGGAAUGGGAGAGGUGAUGUUUUGGAGUGUGGGGAGCAGAGCCAGGCAGAGAACUGCUUAUAUAGAGGCGCUCCCACACCGGAGUGGCGGAGUGGCAUUGAUGCGAGCGUACGUGGAUGCAUAUGAUAUAAGCAUGCGAAACGAGUCACUUUGUGGUAAUGGUAUAUUUACCGUGCUUCAGGUACCAACCAGUUGAGUCCUAAACACUCAGCUGAAGAGGGUGCUUACCGUGCUUCAAGGUGCCGUAACACUCCAAACAGUUUUCACUCUAAAGAGCUAGUGGUUGAGGGAAAACUGACAGUUCCCUUGAACCAGACUAUAAUGGCCGCAAAUUAAACGUGCCGCCUCCACCUUCAACGUUUGACGCUGUUUAGUUCAAUUUCGAAUUUGCUCGCUCCAAAAUUUCAAAUCUUUUUUUGUCUAGUAACAUAUUAAGUUAGGCUGGUACUAUGUACCAAUCAAUUCACACUACUCACUUCAACCGUAUUCUGUCACUACUCACUACAAAUCUACAAUAACAUUUUCUAAAACUCUAGGCACUCGCAAUACACGUAUCACACUCUCGAAAUAAUUUUUGAUACAUUGAAUUAGGAAAGCAGGAUCUUGGUUAAGCGAAGCGAUCGAGAACAUAAUGCUGGUGUCCUAGAGGAUCAGGACGUGAACUGACCGUGCGACCCCAGACCCCAAUCAUCACCGGCGUACGUGGAGGUCAAACAAGCUUAGCAUUGAUCGGACCACACAUAAUUGGAGGGCCCCCAUGACGACGACGCCGUCGGCCCGUCGGGGAUGGGAGCUCCUUCGGAACGUUCGACCCCAAGCGAAAAGUUGGCGCCGGAACUUGACACGGGAGGUAUCGCCAUCGCCGUUCGCAUGUACAUGCAUGCACGCAUGGGCCGUCACGGUCCGCUCGCUCGUCCCGUCGCACCUCCAGCUGGAUGCCUCUAUCGAGCUAUUUUAUUUCCCACUCAUUUAUUUUGUAUAGGAAUAUGCUCCAUGCAUCCAUUUGGUAAUGAAAUAAUGACCAGUGAUGUGGAAUGGGACCAAAUGAUUCUUGGAGUACGGUCUUCUCUCUCUCACUUGAAAAGAUCAGUCUUGAUUUUUUGAGGCCGAUAAUUGGCCACCUGCUCCCUCUCGUCCCAUGACAAAUCAGAUGAGUCUAGAACCUGAGGGUGUGUUUGGUAUGAAAUGAUUCAAAAUAAUAAUGAUCCUUUCGUUUGGUUGGGUGAAUUGGACCAGCUCAUCUAGGAUGAGGCCAUCCCACUUAAUACAUUAUUCAAGCAAAUUGAUUGAACCACCCUAUCUAGGAUCAUCCAUGCAUGCAUCAUGUGGUGCAUGCAACCAAAUACACUCUGAAAAAUGAAAAUAAAAACCAGAGGCUUUGUAUAGAUUAUCCUAGAGGCGUAUUUAGCCACCAAACAAGAGCACUUGGAGACCUGCCGCCGCUGCUCUAGAGAUUACUUUAGUGUAGUAGGACUGUAGGAGUACGCUUACUAGCUUAGUGUCGACAAGUCACCAAAGCAAAGUGUUAUAGGAGUAUACUAACAUCAUGCGCCGCUCCAUGAGUAAGCAACCUAACCAAAGGCAUCGACCCCAAAAGGAUUACCGGCAAAGCAAGCGCUUAUUAGUGCCCCGUAAACUCGAGAGGCCAUCAUGUGUAAUCCCGGAACAGCUGGCUUCCAUGCACUCGAACGCGUGCGGAGACGUGUCGCCGUUUCGCGUAGGACACCACCUGCACAGGGGACGGGACCCCGGCCGGCACAGCGGCGGGCGGUAGCUGCUGCAGUUUCCCGGCGCCAAUAAUGGAGGCGGCAGCCCAGAACCGUGGUCCGUGGACCUGUUCUCUGAAAGGCUCCUGUCGCCAUUGAAUUGGUGCGCCGCAUGCAGUCUGGGAUCGGGCAGGCAGUCACGCGUCAGAAGCGACAGCCGGCCGCCGCCGUCGCCGUGCACAGUGCGCGCGGCGAGGAAUCAGCUGUGCGCCUGGGCCUGUCCAGAAUAAUUGCUUUCGGCAACAAUCAGCAGUCAGCGUCGCUGACUGUUCCAUUGGGCACUGCUGGAUUUGGAUACUUGCAGCAUGCAUGUCACUGUAGAAAUGCAUGUCUGCAAAACAUGCACUCAUUCCUAGCAAGUACUGAGUUUCACUGCUAAUAGUUUUAAUAAAAAAAUGCUACAGAUCAAAUUAAAUUGCUGACAAAACAACAAGCAAUAGUCUGAAUUUUAUGGUAGCAGCCAUCGAUCUCAUCGCGUCCGCUGCAGAGCCCGCAACGCAUCGAUGGCACGGGCGCACGGCUGCACGGACACCUAUCGCACGCGGCUCGGAGUCGGAGGGAGGGUGAGCGGUCUAUUACCACCAGCUGCCGCGCGCGGCUGUAGCUGCAUCCGCGAGCAGACGGCGAUGGCCGAGGGCGGGCCGGCCGACCGGUGGUGACCCGGCGCUACCUGCCGACGCGCCCGCGCCGGCCUGCCGUCGACGGCCGCAUGGGUCACGUGUGGUGUGGCUGCACGCAAGCCGCCAGCGGCGCGUCAAAAGGUCGUCGGCCUCGUCAUCAUGAGGCCGGCCCCGGCCUCGCGCCUGUGCUGGGCCACCAUCGGCCUUGCCGCCACAGAUCUCGGCAGGAGUCAGCUUCGUUCAUCCGGCGUCCCGGCGCGUAGCGCACUCGUGGGCAUUGCAUAGCUUCACGGUCCCGGCUGCGGUGGUACACUGGUACUCAAAACUCGAUCUAGAAUCUAGGAACAAACGGGGCCACACAAUCAUUGCCAGUGGGCAGAGGGCAGAGGCUCAAUAGCGCCGGGCUCGUAGGAGGUAGGCAGGAAUGCAGGAGGGGAUGAAGGUGGGUUGACUGACCACAGAGUACAGCAGAGCGGCCAUCCAUGACAGUCUCCGAUCAGUAAUCACCAUGGUUAACUCGACUGUAUGAGCGGCUCUAGUCCUGGUUCGACUGUUGGAGUCCACGCAAGCCGAACAAAACUACCGUUCGCUAGCUCCAUCGUCAGCAUCGAAUCAUAGGACCCACGCACGAAAAAAAUGAGUCCGCUCUUUCUCAGCACGAGUCUCAUGGGACCCACGCGACGUGGUGCUGCGCUGCCUGCUGGUGGACGACGGCAGUUGGCGUGAUUAUUUUAAUUCGUCGGAGUUCGGCUCGUCUGCAAACGUCGAUUUUGCGUCUGACAACCAACGUUCGAACGCUGCAGUGUUCUUUGUUCGGUUAGAACAGCCCACGGUUCGAUUUUGAACCACACUGGAGCUGCUCGGAAGUUUGGUUUCGGCAAAGACACAGUGCUACCACUGGGACUCUGGCUCACAGCUAGCAGUACACUGACAGCAGCUCAGAGAGGAGCGACACCUGCGACAGGCACGCAAACCAACCCGGAAAGGCUCCUACAACCCCCGAACUAACCAGCUUCUCAAAGCAUUGCAGUGCAGAGCCCGCCUGUCAACUCAAUGCCCAUACAGGAAGGGGGGGGGGGGGGGGGGGGGCACGCGCAUUCGCGAGGGACCGGAGCCACCGCAGCCGACGUGCAUUGGACUAAGCGUGCCAUUUCACUCCAAUAAGAUUUGAUUAGCGGUGGCGAUAACUGAUGACUAGCUAGUGGCCAGUGAACCUAGCAUUCCACUCGACCCCAACCCCGACGGCUCCAUCAGAGUCCAGUAAAGCCGGGACAGCGCUGCCGGAACCCACUGUUGGGACUGGAUCACUCUCCGAUCCGAUGACCCUGCCACCUCUCCCCCUGAGAUAGGACCAAGCCAACAACCGGGUCAGCUUUCCCUCUUUAAAACACGCCCAAUCAUAUGUGUCUCCUGCCCACGCACGAAUGCCCAUCACGUUACAUCACGGAUCCAAGAUUCUCAUCAUGGAUUAGGUCAACUUAAUGUUUAAUCAAGACUGUACUGCCAAACACUGAUGCGCCGAGGCAGGCCGCGCCGCUAGUCCGCUACAGCCGAGCAAUUAUUUGGGCCGGGACAGUUCAGUGUAGCGCCAAAAAUUCAGCCGAAAAGGAGGUAGAAGUCUACUGGUGGAGUCGUGGAGCGAGCGAGCGAACCGCGAAGCAUCCAUCGCUCGAUCGUCCGUUCACGGUCAGAAAGAGGCGCCGCGCACGCGCUGCCCAUGCUAAUCCAGCUGUCCCCAAGUUCCAGUUGAUCUCCGGUCACCCAGAGCUGAACACGCCUCGAACAAGUGCAGCCCGGCGAACGCGUCGCGUGCACGCAGCUACUCCUGCCCAUCAGGCCGAUCUCAUCCUGAAUUCCUGACCAGUGAUCACUAAACAAUGGCAGGCAGCAAGCCCUAUAAAAGCCCAGCUCCUCGCCAUUUCGGAAGCACACACCACCACUGAGCCUUCCAGUCAAGACACACCAGCUGUCUACUCUAGUGCCACUGCGUAGUGCUCCACUUGGUAGUUCACUCCUAGUGGAGGCGAUGGCCUCAGCAGCUUCCAGUAGCUUCCUCCGUCGGAGAACCCAUGCUCUGCUCUUGCUCCUGGCGCUUGCGCUCCUGAGCUCGGCGUGGGGCUCCGUGGCCGCGGGAGUGUCCAUGGCCAGCCCCAGCAGGAGGCUGAUGGAGCUCUACAAGCCGCCGCCCAGCGACAUGCUGAGGUACCACGGCGGCGCCGUGCUGAGCGGCGACAUCUCCGUCUCCGUCCUCUGGUACGGCCGCUUCACGCCGGCGCAGAAGGCCAUCGUCACCGACUUCCUCCUCUCCCUCUCCGCCGCGGCGCAGGGGCCUUCCGUCGCCCAGUGGUGGAGCAACAUCAACCGGCUCUACCUCUCCAAGGCGGCGGCCGCCAGCAAGAACGGCGCCCACGGCGGCGGCGCCAGGAUCGCGCGGGUGGUCCUGGCCGGGCAGGUCUCGGACGAGGGUUGCUCGCUGGGGAAGAGCCUGAAGAUGUCCCAGCUCCCGGCGCUGGCGGCGAGGGCGCGCCCGGCGAAGGUGGGCGGCGGCGUCGCGCUGGUGCUCACGGCGCAGGACGUGGCGGUGGAGGGCUUCUGCGCGAGCCGGUGCGGGCACCACGGCUCGUACGGCGGCGGCGGCGCGCGCGCGGCGUACGCGUGGGUGGGGAACCCGGCGACGCAGUGCCCCGGGCAGUGCGCGUGGCCGUUCCACCAGCCGGUGUACGGGCCCCAGGCGCCGCCGCUGGUGGCCCCCAACGGGGACGCCGGAAUGGACGGCGCGGUGAUCAGCGUGGCCAGCAUGGUGGCCGGCGCGGUGACCAACCCGUUCGGGGACGGGUUCUACCAGGGCGACCGCGGCGCGCCGCUGGAGGCCGCCACGGCGUGCGCGGGGGUGUACGGCAGGGGCGCCUACCCCGGGUACGCCGGGGAGCUGCUCGUGGAUAAGGCGACGGGCGCCAGCUACAACGCCAACGGGGCCCGCGGGAGGAAGUACCUGCUCCCGGCGCUGUACGACCCCGACACGGGUGACUGCGCCACCUUGGUGUGAGAAGAGAGCGCGCGCGCGGCGCCGUGUCUUGGCAUCCGUCAGUGGAAGAUAAAGUGACGAUGUGCUUGUGCGUCAGCGUGUGUGUAGUAAUUUGGCGAAGGUCGAAAUGGAGUGUUGUCUAAGGGUCUCAUUGGUUGGAUGCUAAAAUUUUAGCAUGUUAGAGUUUUGGCAAGCUAAAAGUUGGAUAAAAAACUUGCUAAACAUGGAAAAAAAAUUGUAAAUAGUGGUCAAAAUUUUAGCAUGCCAACAUUUUGACAUGCCAACAUUUUGACAUCAAACCAAUUAGACCCUGAAACACCAACUGGAUGUAAACUGUAUAAAAUGUGAAGUAUCUGUUUCUCAAGGGCUCUGUCUCGUCUUCUAUAACUCUGUAUUGAAUCGUGCUGGACUGUUUUCGUGCUUUGAUAUGAAAAUUCUGAAAGAUCCGAUUCUGAAUUUUGAAGUGGAUGAGUGAGCUUGAUCAGUUGGUCUGCGGGAGCGGAAGCCUGGCAUGUCCACAGGCAUUAGGCAACAUCGACGAUUUCUUUUUUAGAUAACGCGGCUACGAUUUCUUGAUCGCAGAACGUGCUAAAAGGGCCUAGAAUUUACUUGUUUGCCAGAGGAAAGCCGUACUAGAGUGGGGCCCAUUUGUGUGUAUUGUUGCCUGCCUGGCUGGUGGCAUCUGGCCGGGUGGGGGUGGUGAGCCGAGGCAAAGCCUGGCCCAAUACUACAUACCUAGUAUGAAUUCGGACUUCGGAGUUUCGAACCUUCGUUCCCUUUGUUCAUCAUCAUGUCUGCGCGUUUCGAGAAAGCCGAAACCUUUGCACUUGCCAGCCAGCUCAGGUCAACGGCUAGCAGAAAGUACGAAGUUUAUUCCAAUACACGACAAUACCACGCGACCUUUCCAUAGUGUGUCAACUACUCAAGCACCAGCCACCACCACCAGGGCUUCUCUUUGAUGCAUUUGACGUCAAACAUUUCCGAAGCGCAGUUGAUCCUCAUGCACUAGUACUAGCAGUGCAGUCCAAGAAUCUGCGUCACAUGAUUCGGGGCCUAGUGGAUGUGCACCAGGAAACGAGUUCGAUCUACCCAAAGCCGACCAUGUCCGAUCCUGUGGGAACCGGAAAAAAAAAACUUCUAACGAUCCUCGCGUUGCGCUACGGGCACCAGCUCCAUGAUGCGUUCAGCCGUUCACGUCCAGAAUCGUGGUGCACGACUGGAGCUUCGGCGGCGGUGCUCGCCUCGCCUGCUCCAGCCACAGGAACUCUCACCAAAUCACCAAUUCACUAUGCGUCCAUGGGCAAAGGCGAGGCUUUUUUUCUCGCGCCGCACUCGCCAGGUUCCCGGGAACGCGCGCGCGCGACCGUGGCCGGCCGGCCCCGAGCCCCCGACCUCGGCGGCCGGGAUACCACCUUGACGAGCUGGCCGGCCAGAUUUUCGGUGGAUUCUGGAUGGUUGCCGGGAUCGCGAGGUUAUUUCGUCGCUUUCGUGUGCCUUCGACGCUGCGCUUGCUGCCUAGUACUGUACGAAAGUACUACUCCGCUUACGUGACAAUGCAAAGCCCCGUUGGUCAAGUCCCGUGCCUACGAUACUGCCACGAGCAGCGAGAGCGCUCUGAACGUUUCAGUUCGCCAAUUCGCACGCCGUGCCUUGCACCGGGAAAUCUACGCAUCAGCCGACCACCGUCUGUGAGCUCUGAGCACCGUUCAAAUAAGAAACAAACCUUUGCCUGCAGCAAUGCUGCAACUGCAAACGUGCAUAUGGCGUGACACGAUGGUAAUUUGAACAUGGAUGCGUGCCAUGAUCAGAUCACAGAUCAGCUUGCGCCACGGAGCAGGAAGGUUUAUCAAUGGCCUAUAAAUCCCUUGUUAACGGAGCCCUUCGUCUCGCAAUCAGCAAGUCCCCGAGUUUACCAUCAUCUUCCGAUCUUAACUCGAUCGUAGUUGCGGACUGAUUCCAAAUGGAUUCUCGCAGCUUGAUCUCUACGAAGGCGCUACAGAUGGUAACAACCACGCUGAUCCUCCUGAGCCUGGCGCGGCCGUCGCUGUGCCAGCGGCGGGAGCUCGAGCUGGUGGAGGCCCCGGCGGGCGACCAGCUGACGUACCACGGCGGCGCCGUCCUCAGCGGCGACAUCCCCGUCUUCAUCGUCUGGUACGGGAGCUUCUCGGCCGAGCAGAAGGCCAUCGUCGUCGACUUCAUCGAGUCGCUGACCUCCAAACCCCACUCCGCGACGCCCUCGGUCGCGCAGUGGUGGAGCACCAUCCACAACGUCUACCUGUCCACCUCCACCGCCACCGGCGGCGGCGACACGCGUAUCCUCCUCGCCAGCCAGGCCUCCGACGAGCAGUACUCUCUCGGCAAGUCCCUGACGCUGGACCAGGUGUUCCAGCUCGCGGCGGGCGCGGGGCCCAGGAAGGGCGGGCUCGUGCUGGUGCUCACGGACCCGGGCGUCGUCGUCGACGGCUUCGGCAGCGUGCGGUGCGGGCUCCACGGCGCCGACGCCGGCGCGGGCUACGCCUACGCGUGGGCGGGUGACGCCAAGCGGCAGUGCCCCGGGCAGUGCGCGUGGCCGUUCGCGAAGCCGUCGUACGGCCCGCAGGACAAGCCCCUGGGCGCGCCCAACGGCGACGUCGGCGUCGACGGCAUGAUGGUGACGCUCGCCAGCAUGGUGGCGGGGGCCGUGACCAACCCGUUCCGCGACGCCUACUACCAGGGCGAGAAGGACGCCGCGCUGGAGGCGUGCACGGCGUGCGCCGGGGUGUACGGAAGCGGAUCGUACCCCGGGUACGCCGGGGACGUGCUCGUCGACAAGGACACCGGAGGCAGCUACAAUGCCAUUGGCGCCGGGGGACACAAGUACCUGCUCCCCGCCGUCUACGACACGGGGAAGCCUGGUUGCUCUACUUUGGUGUAGAGCCCGGAAAACGGUGACGAAUUUCACUGCACGUCGUCGGCGCCGAAGGUGUAAAUAUACAUAAUUGUUUCUUCGAUUUGCCGUUCUUAUUUCGACGAGCUUAUGGUGUUGACGCUUGCUGGGAUCGUUGGAGGAUCGGAGGAUCUCUAAGAAUUGGAUAAAACAGAAGAGCGCGAAGUAUGCUAAGCAAGGAGUUGUCUUUCAAAGACCAACGUACAAAUCAAGAUCAGUUUAUCAAAAUGAAUAGAGAUGAAAUUGGGCGACCGAUGCUGUGUGGACUCUGGAUGACCAGCUAUAUAUUUACUUAUUUCUAUGUACCUGGUUAGUUGGUUGCGCUAUUAUGGAAGAAGAAAUGCAAUACUAUUUCUGAACAAAAUCACAUAUAUGACUGUAGACUUAAUGACCUUGAGUUUGCACAGUUGGGUGGCUUGGCUACUUUGGUGUUCAUUUUUCAUCAAGUGUUUUUUGAGACAUCAGAGGGUCUAAACUGCCAAUCAACCCCGUUUGUAACAACUCUUGCAAUAGUGCCCCCACAAGCACUGGUAGAGAUGACUAAAAACUUCAGAUAUCUUUUUUUUUUUGCGAGGAAGAUAUCUUCUUGGAGUUAACUAAACCUUCUCUAUGCAUUUGAACAUUUUUUAAGACUACUCCAAAUGCCCAUUCACACUUGUAGAUCCAAUCCAUCAACCUGUGCUCCGUGCAGGCUAAAAAAUUUAAGAGUAUUUUAAAAAGAACAUAUGCUAUAGAAGUUUGUUGAUAAAUUUGAGGCUGAUACUAAUUAAAAGUGCUUAAUCUUAUUCUCUCUCUCUCUCUCUCUCAUGUAAUCUUUAUCCGGUUGUAACAGAUAUCAUUACCGAUUACUUCCAUCCCUAUUCAUAUAUUACAUCUUUUGCAUCCCAUCUCUAUCUCAAUGUGUGUUCAACAGUUAGUUGAACCUUAGCUUUAGUUAUAUUACCUCUUGUUGCAAUCUAUCUUUCAUGACUCCAUUGGUUCAGAUUUUUUUUCUUCCCAAUUUCAAUUUUACUUUGAUAAUGAUGCUUAUUAUGUGGUCCACAUGCCAAACAUCAUUCAUCUAUACUUUGUGUUAGUUUGUCCAUAUAUUAGCAGAAAUACAUAGGUAAUUUAGAAGUAUGCAUUUGGUAUCUUAGGAUAUUAUUUUCAUAACGAUAGUAGAAGUGAUUAAUUUGCAUGUGCACAUAGAGGGUUAGUUGUUACUUUAAUAGGCAAACGUGUGUAAUUUAGAUGCUAAUUUAGGGUUGUUUUAGAUUAUUAUCUUAUAAUUAAUAACAUACACGGGUAAUUUAGAUGUGGAUCUAGGGUAUUAUCUUGGAUUUUUUUUACAAUGGUAGCGGUAAGUAAUUUAGAUACAAACUUUUUUACAAUGGAAGUUGGUUUUAUAACGGCAAACCUGAGUAAUUUACUAAAAUAAUCUAUACCUUAUACCUAAUAUUAAAGAGAGGAUGUUUCUUUCAUCAACCGUCGUGGAUAUUUUGCAAAAAAACCCCUCAAGGUUUUGGUAAUCAACCCGCAGUCCAAAUGCUGAAGAGGGGGGGGGGGGGGUUUCGGGUGGAAAAAGAAGGGAAGGGAGGGGGUUAAAGGGGAAAAAGCUUCUCUUUCUUCGAAACGGAGAGGCGAACGAGGGAGAUUGGACGCGGGCGGCCAGCAACGUCAGUGGUGCGGCGGCCGGCGUCCUGGGCUUGACCGCGGCCAUGGAGAAGGGGAGGAGGGUGAGGCCGCGAGGCUUGGGCGAGGGGAGCGCGCCGCUACCGCCGGCGAGGCCGGGGUGCCUCGGCGUCUGCUCCGGGGGUCACGUCAUGCGCGACGCCGUCCUCCGCGAUGCGGGGUCGGAGGCCGCAACAGCCACCCCACCCGUUGAAGAUCCGCGGCGGCGGCGACGGCCGCGUGGGGAGGGGUCGAAGGGCACGAGGCCGCAGCUGCCGGAGGGGCCCGGAGGAGAUCGAGAAGCUUGCCCACCGACGACAGAAGGGAUGACACCGGGACCGGAGGAGGAGGGCAGCGGACGCAACGAGAUCUGCUUGCCGGCGGCGAUUGCCGCCGCCACGCACGAGGAGGCCGCGUCGUGGUCGGAGGAGGCGGCAGCGCGGUGGGUCUGUGGCGUCGCUGUGCCACUCCAGGUCCACCUCCACGACGCUUGGGAAAAAAAACUUGUCAGGUGAAGGGGGAAAAGCCUCACGGUCCCAGACCGGCGCCACCGACGGCGCCGGCAGCCCCUGCGCCAUCUCACCGGCCGCCUUGAGGAACUGCACUGCGCUCUGCCUGUUUAACAAGGUGCUGAGAGGCGACGAUGUUCAGCCUUGCCUCUGUUGAAGACGUCGUUCAGCACGGGCAGCCUGCCUACGGCGGCACAACGGCCCUUUCGAGAUCUGCUGUGAGGGCGCCUACGGGAGUCGCAUGUGCUUCUCGACUCACCCACCGGCGGCAAGUCCCUCUUCCUCCUCUGCCCCACUUCUAGCACGCGUCCCUAGCCGUUCCUCCAUUGCCAGGUGCACCUUGCUCUCCCUUUCUUUUCUCUCUCCUCAGUUGUUUGCCAGCUCUUGGAUAAAAGAAAUUGCUCUCUCUUGGUAAUCGUUGCUUUUUGUUUGCUCAUUAAAAUUACUGCUACGUGAUAAUCGAUGGAUCAAUAGAUAAAUCAAUUACUGCAGCAAUAGUGUCAAUCUCUUUUCCCUGCUAUUCAGUUGUCGUCCUGUAGUCUGCUAUGCUCUGAAUGUUUCCAACCCUUCUGCUUGCUCUGAAUAUUCCCAACCUUUCUACUAUUCGUUGACACCUGCUUUUCCUUUUCCUUAUGUACCUGAUGUACCAAUAUUAUGUUCCAUGAUUCCGAUGCAUAAUUUGUUCUAUGACCAUGUGAAUGGAUCUAGACAGAAUGAUGAAGGCAUAUACAAAAUGGAGAUUACUAUUGCUUUCUUUUCUUCAUGGCAGUGGCUUAAUGUUGUCCUAUGAAACCAUAUGGUCGUCAGUUAUCGGAUUUGUCAUCUGCUCACUACCACUUUCACUCGGUUUGUGUUUUUUUUGCAGAGAAACUAGCCAUUAAGAAGGAUCACUGAAUGUAGCAGCAGAAAUGCAGAUGAUAUUUCCUAGCACAAGGCAAAAUGAAUCUAAUUAUACAUGUGCCCUUUCCUUCUUUAUCAAUUUGAUGAACCAGCUCUGGAGAAUUAACUACUUUUAUCUCUGCAUAUGGUGUCCUGCGGAUAGAAAGGUAGGAGAGGAGAUCACCCUGCUCGCAGAGCACGCUGUGGAGAAUGACAAGUUGUCAAUCGUCAUGUUUAGCCUGGAAAAAAUGAGUACGUGUUUAGGUUCCUUUGCGGUGACUUGCAUUGCUCUUAAAUUCUAUCCAGUUUUUUCUUCACCUUACUAACACAUGGCUUCUUUCUCUUCUCAUUGAAGUUUGCAGUGACGCGGUGUAUCAGCGAGAGUAGUCAGGUGAUGGGCUGGUAUCUUACGUUUCUACAACUUCUCCUCUCUUCCCAUCAUGUGUGUAUUUCUUUCCUUUUUGUAUGCAACUAGCAAAGGAAGAAACAAGAAAAAUAUGAAAAAAAAAUUCACUUCUGUGCCUCACGCAAUAAAAACUAAUUCCAACCAACCGUCAAAUUUGGUUGAUUUUAAUAAUGAACAACAUAUUAAAAGCGAGAGAGCCUUGGCAUUAACCAAAUUAUUAUUUGGUUGAUUUUUUAGCCCAGCUUCAUUUGAUGCGUGCAUAUUUGGUGGUGUAUGCCAUGUGUUUUGGGACCCGCAAUGAUUUUCUUCCUUCCGCGCAAUGAUUUUCUUCCUUCCGUGCAACGCAUGGGCACUUCUGCUAGUUAUAUAUAAUUGACAUUGUUGCCGGCAACGGUUGGGUCUAUAAAUCAAUGGUCGGAUGUAUUGUAUUGUUUUUGAAAUUUCUAUCUUUCCAAGUUCAUCUCAUGUGAACUAACACCAAAGCUCCAAAGAAAUCUAUAAUUCAUAAUAGUGAGAUGUUAGAAUAGGUUUGGAACUACAAUAAAAAAUUUUGGUUGGAUUAUAUACACACACUGGAAACUUAGAGCACAAAGCAUGGAAUUCUUGCAUUGUUACCCUACCUCUCGCUAAAGGAUUAAAACUCAAAAACCCCAAUUUAUUCCGUUGUACAUCUUUAUCUUAUACCAUUGGGGAAGGUCAUAUAUCCUAGGAUCUAUUUGAUGUGUGAAAAACUUAAAAAGUGUAAUGGUUAAUUAUCUUGAACAAAAAUGGAAAAGUGCGCUUACUUUAUGUAAUAUCUAGGGGUAGGUUGAAGAAGUCAACUGACCCCUUCACAUGUAUCUAUAAAGGAGUCACAUGAGGCCAAUGAUACCAUCUCUCCAUUCAUUUUCUUGCUCAUUUUCUGCAUUCUAUUGUCUCACGUGGUUUGUAGGCUCAUCUUAUUUGAUGGAUAUUGUACAACCCAAAGGUUGUGAGUUUUGGGGAAUCGUGAUCCAAAGAUUACAGUAAAACCUCCUUCAAUAUAAUCAUCUACGCACACUUUUAUAAAGAGCCAAGAGGUGUGCAUAUCACUUACAAGGACAUAAUUGAUAAGCACCAGGAGUAUGCACAUAUAGUUUUAGAGUAAAUACCAUUUCUUCCUUAACAAUCAUCUAAUAACAUGUUUUGAUCCAUAAUAUUGGUCUUUCUAAUUAUUUGUGAUAAUAUUAUUUUAUUUUAUUCAUACCAUGUAUUAGUUUCAUCCAAACUUUCAUAGUUCUUUUGGAUGUAGUAUGAGUUUGUUUGAUAUAGCUAAAUAAUUUAGUGGAGAUUCUAUAGUCUAGUGUGCAAUAAAAGACUACAUGGAAUCUUCCAAGAGAGCUAGGUUAGGAAGUAUAUUACUCCAACAAUUGUCAAGGUUGGAGGAUUAAGAUUCCAAAUAAUGGAUUGGGCUGCCAGCGACGAAUUAGGCAACUAAUGGAGAGUUGUAACUCGAAGUGAGUAAUUGACUUAAUAUAAAUAUCUAAAACAUUAUAAAUUUUUAGCACCUUGUAGAAACUCAAAUCAUUUGUCUUAUAAUCUAGAUAUUAUAUUGAAGUUACUAACAAGACUAUAAAUUUAUGAUACUUUCUAUAGUUGUAUAAAAAACAUAUAAGGGAUUUUGAUAUAAAGAAAUGACAAAUGCAUAACAAAAUUAAUAAGCAAUACUUGUUGAAUCUCAACUCCAUAAGAUCCAGGGUUUUAACUCAAGAACUCACAUCUUCAUCUUCAUUGCAUGUUUUUUUUAUAUUUGCAAAGCUUGCAUAAGAUCCAAUAUUUUUUAGGGCUAGGAUUUCAUAUUUGCAAAGUUUCCUUUAGACGAGACAAAAUCUAAGCAUAGAAAGCCCAACCCUAAACAACCCGUGCUUAGCAAAAAAAAAAAGCUCACUUAGUCAAGCAUGUUGGCUUUUAUGACUUAGCUUGCACAGUAGCCUAACGGCUCGAAUCUGACCCAAGUCUUGUUCAAAACAUAUAAAACUCAUGGGUGGGUUGGCCUACCCACAUCUUGAAUUUGAUGCUCAAUGGGAGUCUAGGUCAGGCUUGAGCAAUCGCUUUAGGUCCAAAACAAAGUAGGCUUUUCGUUUGGUCUGGCGCACCAAAUGCUCGCGUCUAUAUGAGAGACCUAGUUAUUUUGUAUGUUGAAAUGAGGGAGCUAGUUGUCUGGGCUAAUAGGCUUAACUAUUUAAGCGUAUGCCAUUCUUUUGGAUUAGAGCAUUCCAUUCUUAAAGUAAACUCAUUUUUCCAUGCAACUCAUCAUAAUUUUUGUGUCAUAAUGGGUAAAGUAUAUAUGCAGACCUCAAGGAGCGUCAAGGUCCCAUUGGUCUAAAGAAACACCAUACCUAACAUUCUUUGGCACAUGGGACAUCUAAAAAAUUGGAGCUCCUGAAGAGUGCUAACUCCAGUUCAUGUAUCACUAACAAACAUCUCAUGCAAUAGUUUUGGUAAUGGAUGAUGAAGUUUAUACUUAUUCCCUUUUUGCUGAACUUUUUUGGACUAUAUCGGUUGACGAUUAAAAUUGGCACCAAUAGGGUUUGCUAUGUAUUCUUGGCAAAGCGGCUUCACAAGUUACCAAAUUCGACCGAGCCAAUUUUGUCAACAUUGCUAAACAAUCAGUUGAACCAUAUCAUUAUGUGGUACUCAUUGGCACGAUCGUAAUGCAUAUAUAGGAGGUCUAAUCUGGAGUCUGGAUGAGAGAGAUAUGUAGCUCCGAAAUGGUCCACACCUGUGAAAACUAGUCAGACUGGUUUUUUGAAAUUGGCCAGAUCUGUUUGGGCCUAUAUAAACCGAGUAAGAGUUGUAUUUUGGUAUGGGAUAGAUGAAAGUUUUGACUAUUAUUGGAACAAGACCUCCCCACCCUACAUAUGUAUGAAGGGGCAUGUCCGAUUGAUACACACCCAAUCCAACAAAAUAUUAUGCGUUUAAAUUUUUCUCCGAAACUCUAAAUCUCUCUUCCAACCUCCAUGAUGUCCGUCUAGUGAUUUCCAUGACCACAAAUGGCGUCCUAGGCUUGCUAGUUGACCUAGUGCACGAUCGACAAUGUCUGCACCCUAACACGAUCCCUCCCAAACAUGAGAGUAUCGAUGGCCUUUUCUAGUUUGCUCGUAAACUGGUCGUUAUAUGUCAUGUAAGUGCACUGAUUAUCCUUUAAUGGUUUGUUUGUAAAUCUAGAUGUCCUCCAUCAUGUAAGUGUGGUACUUAUCCUCCUCGAGUGAUAGAUUUCCACGUGGGGACAAUGUUGGCACUCGUUACUAAGAAACUUUUACCCCAGUUAUCUUCAAUAUUGGCAUAUAGAUGACACCAUUUACAUUGAUCAUACCUAACAAUCGGACCAUCUUUGCAUAUGCCUUGCAUUUUGAAGGAUAUUCCAUUUCCCUAGAAAUUGGACUACAUUGGAGCGUAAUUGGACGAGGCUAGAGAAAGACGAAGGCCGGACAAUACAAAAAUGGCAUGGGCUGAUUGAGCCAAGGAGCCCAAGCCGAUCCUAGGGGCUCCCGAUGCUCAUUCAUGCUUAGCUUCGUUGAACGUUCCUCCAAGAAGACUUCAAGGCUAAGUUUUAGAAGAUAUGGCAAGUUGAUCUCACGAUCAAGAUGAAGCAAGCAACAAUUUGGAAGGUUGUCAAGAUCCAUUCUUAUCCCGAGGAUAUCGACAAGUUAGGCCUGGAUGCAAGACAAAAGAAGAUUCCAGAAGAUCAGAGAAGACUUGGCGAUGAAGGAGGAUGCAAGAGGGCAAAAGGAAGGGCUAGGCUGAUCAGCCAUGAUCCACCUAGGCUGAUCAGAUUGGGCCUUUCCCUCGCCCAUUGGGCUUCCCCUUUCGACUGCGGACUCUCUAGGGUAUAAAUACCCCCAUUCUCCACCAACACCAAGAGAACCAUUAGUAGCAAAAGUCGAGGAACUUGAGGGACAACCAUUACAGGGAGCUGAGGGCCGUGCAAUUGUCCAGAGGCUAGCUUAGGCUAGGCUCUGGCAGGCGUGAUCACCUUGUGAGGAAGAUCCAUGCCGAAAAUCUGGAGCUAGGAUUCACAAGUUGUAGGUAUGGCUGACGUGUUUAUAGAUUAGGGAUACCCUAAACCAUCGAUUAAGAUAGACUAAGAAAGGAUAAGGAAGUCAAAGACUAGCUAUGCCGGGUGGGAGACCCGUCGCCGUUUCUACCCGACUAGCCAGCAAAGCUAAGGCUCGGGAACCGAAGGAAGCCGGCCGCCGAGCUGCCGCACGCUAGCUAAGGCGAAAUGAUGGGCUGGGCCUAUCAUAGGCCUAGAACCUAGCCAGGCCUGACUGAUAGGAUGAUCACAGUCGGGCCCAUGUGGGUCGAGGCAUGGAAGCACGGGACGAUCAGUCGAGCGCACCAUUUUUCGUGCCUAAGGAAGACCGGACAACCGUGUCCGGACAAAAUCCCCAGUCAGGAAAGGCGCUGUAGCGCUGACCCGUGCAGCGUCCGAUCACGCACGCCUGUUUCCCGUUUGUGUUGACGCUCGUUAUUGAUACACUUUUAGUGCCAUUUAAGUGAUGUUUUCAUACAUAUUUUUAUACUAACCCGCCACUUGGCACUUGAAAUAACCCCAUUUUUGCAAUGUUAUAUAUUUUGGAGGAUAUUCUAUUUUCGCAGGAAAUUGGACUUAAUUGUAACACAAUUGGAUGAGGCUCGGGACAAGCAACAAACCAGACAAGACGAAGGCCAUUGGGCUCAGAAAGAGCCUGGGCCGAUGGGCCUAUAAAGGCUUGGGCUGAUCUACCCAGGGUCCUCAGGGCCCGAUCAUGCUCAGCUUCGGUGAGGACUCCUCCAAGAAGACUUACAGGCUAAGUUUCACAUGAUAUGGCAAGUUCAAUUCAGGAUCAAAGAUGGAAUCAAGCAGGACUUUGAAAAGAUAUUAAGAUCCAUUCUUAUAUCGAGGCUAUCGAUGUGUCAGACCCGCAUGCAAGUAAAAAUAAGUUUCCAUAACAUUAGAGAAGACUUGGCGACGAAGCUGGACACGAGGGUGUAAAAGGAAGGGCCAGACUGAUUGGCCUGGACCCCCCUAGGCCAAUCAGCCCAGCUCUUUCCUUCGCCUGUUCGUCUUCCAAUUUAAACCACAGGUCCUCCAGACUAUAAAUACCCCGAAAAUCCACCGAUCCUUGGAAUCAAUCCACCAGAACUUGACGUAACCAAAGGCAUUCACCAGAGGGAGUUAAGGGCUGCUGCAAGUCUUCGGAGUUGUCUAGAGAUGGCUUAGGCUAGAUCUAGCCGCCAUAGCCUCCCUGUGCGGUUGUGCCAUGAUGGAGAUCAGGAGCAGGAGUAGAUCAUCGAUGGUAUGCACUCGGAGGUGAUGAUCGAAAUACAUCUAUUAUGUGAUUAAUGUUCUUCAUGUCACUCGAUCUGUUAGUAACUCAAUGCCCCCUUUUAUGCUUUCUAUCUAUCAUGGAUAUGCUUGUUCCUUAGUCUAAUUCCAGAUAUUAUCUAGCAAGCUUGGUGUAAUCAUGGUGAUUAGAUCUAAUAUGUCAAUCCUUCUAGACAUGUUCACCUGUGUUCGUACCCUUAAACUGCCUGCGCUAAUAGAGGGGAUCGUGACAAGAUCUAGCUUGUGUAAGGUGGGGGUUUUUGGGAGGUUGACCGGAGGUAGUAGUUUAAAGAUUUCUUUGGAUGAGAUGCACGAUUUGCUUGCUUAUUAGCUAGAUCUACAACUAGAAGAUGAUAGGCUCUUAUUACCCCUGGGUGUGCUAUCUCAUAUAUAUAUAUAUCUGUGGAUAUGAUCAACCUAUGCUCCAUCAUUCAUGUCUAUUAUGUUUAUAUUUAUAUGCAAUCCAUGCUUCAUAUUAGGAUAGAUCUGUUAGACUAGAUAGAAAACCCUAGUAAGUUCACUGUUGAUCCACGGAUUGAUAAACCUUGGAUGGAAUAGUCUAAGGGAAAAGGUAUGAUGAUCUGUGUGCUUGUGAUUCACAAAUUGGUACGCUAACUGCCGUCAACAAGCUUUUCUGGCGUCGUUGCCGGGGAUCGGCAACUCGAACCCUGGGGCUAUCUAUCUAAUUUUUUGAACUAACCCUAAUUCUUUUUAUUGCAUGUAUCUUGUUUUUCUUAUUUGCGUCCUUGAAAGCAGGUAAAUACUAGACGCUAGAUGAUUGAAUAUGGACUUUCAUCAAGUCUGGAUUCACUUCAUUAAGAUGAUAACAACAUCAAGCUUAGCUCUUUAUAAGUAGGUGCUAACUUUGUUAGUGGCCCAGCAUCUGCUAUUGAAUCCACACCAAUGAAGACAAUAGAAAUGCUGAUAAGUAAGGUAAGCCGCUGUGUCAAUUAAUUUUUAAAGACUAAUAUUUCUUGGAGAUUUGUUUGUUCAAGUAACAGGUGUUGGAAGCAACAUGUCAAGGAGGGAUGAUUGGAGGGCUUCUUUGCACAGAAGGUGACGAUUUGGAGUUGAUCAGGACUGGAGGCAACAAGAUUAGAAGCACCAUGACACUACCAAUAUUCUCCAGUGGGAUGCUCAAAAGCUUCUAAUUGAGUGAUGCAAUCAAGGAAGAAAACUAUUUAGAUCAUCGACAGAAAGCGCAGGAGCCCCCUCUGAUCCCGACGCCUUGGCUAAAGCAAGCAUUAUGGAGAAGACACAUUAUUGCCGCUAUGCUACUUGUUGGUGCAGCAAUAAUGAUGACCUUGAAGCCAAUGGAUGUGUGACAUAAUGCUCCAAAUACCACAAGAUCGAAAUCAUCAACAUCUCCAAAUUAUUUUACGAGAAGCUACUGUUGUCAUCAAGAUUUUGCAUGACCUCAGAAGAAAAUAACAGAAUAUUUUUGGAUAUUCAGAAUCUCAUGAAGUCUAUGUUCCAAUGAAUCAAGAAGCAAGACAAUCGGAGGUUACUACAAGCGGUUAUGGCCAAAUCAUCAAAUGUCACGCAUCCUGAAAUCAGUUCUGAAUAACAUCCAAAGCUGAAAUAAAAUGGGCAAAAUUCUCUCAUUUGAACUCCAUUUUAGAUGAAUGACCACUCAUUGGAAAGGGUAAUUUCAUAAAAUUUUCAAUAGAGCUAUAUUUUGAUAUAUUUUAUAUUUUGGAUGCAGGGGAAAAUCCAUGAAGAAGAGGCAGCAGCAAGGCGAUGAGAACAAGAUGGAGGAGAUGAAGAUGGUAACAAUGAAGAGGAGCUUGGGCAAUGCUUUCAUCAAGCGUACAUGAUCAAAUUCAGAAGCUUAGAACAAAACAAAAACCUCCAGAGCAUUGGCACAUGUUGACACCAGUUUUUGACCAGAGUCAACCGCUGUAGAUAAGGUUCUGAUAGCCGAUGAAGGAGAGAGAAAGAGCCUGAAGUUGGCACCGCGUUGAGCAAGACUAACCGCAGUUGACCAGGGUUCCAGAAGAUGAUGGAACACCAGGUGGGCCUAGUCUGAAGCGAAAUUGACUCCAUCAAAUAAGGGAAAGCGUGGAUGUUUAUCUUUAAUAGUUUUUAGAAAUACCUGUAAUAGUUCAUGUCGUAUCUGACUAGGAUUUUAUCUUGCUCCAGGGUAUAAAUAUAAACCCAUGAGCCUUGUAAUAGGGAGCGAUUAAUCAAUCAAUACAACCUUUCGGCGCCACGUUGCCAAACCCUAGGAGUUGGAGAAGAGUAGAUUCGAUGAGUUCCUUCUAGCACGCAAGGUUGCAUCAGUUUCGAUCUCGGGCGAGCUUGCAAGUACCGUCACCCGAUCAUUAUGUCCUCUAUUAGAACUUUCUAAGUUAAGUAUUAUAUUCUGAUAUUGUCGCGUGACUAGUUAUCGAGUUAUCUUAGAUUGCAAGUAGAACUUUCUAGGCUUUGUCCAAUAUUCUGCUUGUUUUUGACGUUGCUCAAGUUAUCGAACGGCUUAGAUCUGGUUAGGUUGUCUUCAUCGACUCCCUUGCCUUAUUUAAACAUUCACAGUUAUCAAACCGUAUCGGCUGGUAGAUCUUGCAUGCUUUUACUGUUUUACACAUGCUAGGUCCGAUAGAUCUUUACCCCCGUCCCUCGUAUUGCUAACCGUGUGGCUUUGGUUGUGUCUUAUCCGUAUCUCGCAGAAGUCUGAUGAUGUCAUUGAGCCGAUAGGGGCGCGUACGAGGCCUUGCUGCAGCGAGCUUGUCUGUUAGGACUAAUGGGUCGAAGUUAAUGCCCUCCCACCUUGUUACCUUGUCUAAGUUUAAUACAUGGUCAUGACAUUAAUUAGAUUUUGUGAAGGAUUGAAAAAGCAACCAGAGGGGGGGGUGAAUGGGUGCCUCAAAUAUUCCUUCUGAAGACUUAGGCCUCUGUCCCAAAUUCAAACCCCAAAACCGAAGCGAGCGGAAGACGAGAGAUCCACGAGCCAACUGGGUGGCUGGGUGUCUAUGGUGAUGACCGAUAAACAUAGCGGGACUCUCAAGAAACAACUGGAAGCAAACUCCAAAGAUCCAGAAAGCAAACUCCAAAGAUCUGAGUCAAAACAGGACUCAAAAUGCUCCUGUCGGAACUUCCGACACCCUAUCGGAAGCUCCGAUACCUGUCGGAGGUACUGGGAAACUCCCAACAGGAAGUCUCUGUCAUUUCAGCAAAUUUCCAUUCGAAACUUCCGACCGGAAGUUACAUCGGAACUUCCGACAACACUGAAAUUAGCCUUCGUGAGGAGAGAAGAAAAAUCCAAAACUCAAUCAAACGACCUCCAAAAAUCACAAAAUUUUAACCAUAGCUUACCAACAACAUAACAAACAUGUUUCCAAAAGAUCUCCUGAAAAAGAUCAGCCAAUCAAAGGGAAUUAAAUAUCUCGUGAGGAACCCCACUCUUUCAACCCUAGAACUUGAAUCGCCCCGAUCUAUGAACUCGUGUGGUUUCAAUCUAAUCCCUUUGGUGGAAAGGUUCAACUCACGUCCUAGUUCAUUUCCAAAAUACCGGUUUGACUCAAGAACUCCUAGAAACCACGAAUCAAUGAAAAACGUGAGAGGGUGAAAAAGGGAGAAAACAAGAACACGAAGAACACAAGCGAAAAUUGCACAAAGCCAUCAUCCUCCAACACACGGAGGACACGAGGAGGUUAGGGCCUCCAUUCCCACAACAAAAACUCGGUUCAAUACAUGAAUUCGGUGCUCAAAACAUCCGAGGACCUCUAGAGAGAUAAACUAGAGAGAGAGAGAGACUAGACUAAUGAACUCCUAAAAUCCUAGAUAGAUGAAGUGCUUAGAGAGGUGCUAAAACAAUCAGCCCCCCAUCUCUAUUUAUAGUUCGAAACUAGUUACUAAACUACCCCUACAACUACUACUAGGAUAACUACCCACGCAGGGGCAUUUUGGUCCAAGUUUUUCUACGCUCAUCGGACGGACACGCCACCUUCACGACUUUACUUUGCCUUGAUGCAAGCUUCGCGAUGAUGCCACGUGCCCUCCUUCUUGAAGCUCCGGCCCCACUGGGCUCGCCCCUGAUUUUGAGGCCCAAACCGGCAAACCUGCCUGCGCGAUGGUUUUGAGGCCCAAACCACCCGAACCGACCAUCUUCUCUUGGUCGCCACGCGACCUCCUCGAUAUCGACGCGUGUCCAGUCUCCGCCAAGCCUUUGAGGCCUCCAAGUCUUUCGCUCCCAGCUCCCGAGCUGCUUACUUGAAUUGCCUCCGUCCCGCUUGACUCGACUGACGCCAUCUCCAUUAUCGCCAUGUUCUCUUGCCGUUCCGUGUACUAUAUGGACCGCCCAUGACUCCGCCCAGACUCCUCAGGUCCAUUGGUCCAAACUUACUCGCGUUCAUUCUUCACCGUCCUUGGUCCAUCGGCAUGAACCUUUCGCUUGACCUUCACCGCAUGCCGUCAGCCGCCACAUCGCAUCCAACACCUGCACAUCACAAGCCAAGAGCAACAUCAAACCAACACAACGUUGUCAAUCACUCAUCAUCCAAGGGUGACCACCAUUGGUCCUCAAUCUCUCCCUUGAUGAGUGCAUUGACAACACCCCAUAAAUUCAUAGUAUUUGAAAAAUAAAAAAUAAGAAACUAAAAAUAGAAAAUCUCAGUCCCCUAAGAUAAGGGCAACGGCUCUACAUGACUGAGACAAAAUCAUGUGAUCCCUCAAUAAGAAGCAGAAAAUGGCUCAACACCAAUCACAUGAAAAUCCAAAUCCGGCUCCUCAAGAAGAGGUAAAACAGCUCAACACAACCGGAAAAAGAGCACAAGAGCAUGAAAAAGCUCACAAAGACUCAACUGCCCCUGAAAUCAGGACUCCCCCUGAACAAAUGUCUCCCCCUGAAAUCAAGGCAUACAAAAGCAAAGUUCUCCCCCUUAUGAAACCAAAACCUUGUGAAACCAAAACAAGGCAAGAAUUUACAAGAAUUUGUGCAUUUCCAAAAAAAUCUCCCCCUUGUUGAUAAUGCAACCAUCAAGACGAGCAUGAGAGUAUAAAAUGGAUGCAUUAAAUGCAAAAUCUAUCAAGCUUCUCAGAUAUACCAUAGAAUACUCUCAAAGACUACAAGAGAGAAAACACUUGGUGGAUCAGAAAGAGCUAGGGCAUCGCCAACAAGAUGAUACAGGUAGAAGGUGAGGUCGAUGUCAAGUUUUUGCAAUGUAUAAAAUGAUCACCACAUGAGCAAGCACCUAGUUAAGAAACACCCAAGCAAGAACAAACUAGUCCAUCAAGAGCUCAUACAGGGAAGACAUGUUCUCAACAAGAGAUCAUUGCAAACACCCAUAUAUACAUCACAAGUCAUGUGAAGCUUGUUGAAACCAAGUGCCUACUUCUUUUGGUAGACAAUUUGUAACAACUAAGCAAGCAAGAAUAUGAACAGUUAAGCAUAAAGACUUAGUGAAUGAUGAAUUUUUUCAUUUCAACAUUUUUCUUUUCCUUAUUCACACACAGCAAAAUACAUGAAGUGCCUUUGCGGCACAAAUAAGCCAUGCUUCCCCAAGAGGUGCAUCAUGGGCUAAACAUCUGCAAUGGUACCUAGAUCUUUGACCCAAUUGAAGAGAGUAUGAAUUCCAACUAUAAGCUAAAUAUGGAACCAGCAUUCAAACAAGGGCAAACCAUAACUAAGCAUCUACUCAUGGGUGAUAAGCAAGUUCAUAGAGUAGGAUUUAGCAUUGGAUUUCAAAAACAGUUAUCUCAACAGGUGUACAAUAUCAUCAAGAGCAUAACUGCACAUUGCAUCAACCAUAACCAACCAAGGCAUUAGCUCACAAGCAGCAUAAGAUAGUAGUUAGGGCAUAUAAGAGAAGCUCAACUAGUGCAAUAUGAUAUAAAUGCAACAUGAUACAGAUGUAGUAUGAUACAAAUGAAAGCCAAACUAGCAUACUACAAAGAUGCUAAACAAGCAAAAAGACUAUACAGAUACCAUACAAGAGAGGCACCAAAAACCCAACUCAGAAAGGAAAGCAAACACCCAACUCUCCCCGCAAACGAGCAAAUGUGGCUUGAUCCAGGGGUUUGGUGAAGAUAUCAGCGAGCUGAUUUUGGGUAGCAACAUAGCCAAGGUCAAUGUCUCCUUUCUCAACAUGAUCUCUCAGAAAGUGAUAUCUCACAUCAAUGUGUUUGGUUUUUGAGUGGAGAACAGGAUUCUUGGCUACACUAAUGGCACUCGUGCUGUCACAAAGAAGGGGUACACGAGUAAAAUCCAAACCAAAGUCUCUCAAAGUGGAAAUCAUCCAAAGCAGCUGAGAACAACAACUAGCAGCAGCAACAUACUCAACUUCGGUGGUAGACUGAGCAACACUAGAUUGUUUGCAAGAAGACCAAGAGACCAAAGACAAACCGAGAAACUGGCAAGUGCCCGAGGUAGACUUGCGAUCCAAGAGACACCCAGCAAAGUCCGCAUCGGAGUAUCCUCGGAGCGUGAGUGUCGAGGAGGCAGAAUACCACAAAUUGAACUCAGGGGUAAAGCGGAGAUACCUCCUUCACUGCCUGAUGGUGAGAUGUCCUUGGUGAAGCCUGAAAACGAGCGCACAGACACACAACGAAGUGUAUGUCCGGCCUUGUCGCCGUCAGGUACAAGAGGGAGCCGAUCAUGCUUCUGUACUCCUUUUGGUCCACCGGUUUGCUAUCUUCAUUUGCAUCUAGUGCCGUCGUCAUCCCCAUGGGUGUGGAGAGUGGCUUAGCAUCAGCCAUGUCAAACUUCCUCAGCACAUCCUUCGUGUACUUUCCUUGGUGUACAAAGGUUACUUCCUUACUUUGCUUGAUCUAUAGCCCGAGGAAGAAGGUCAACUCACCCAUCAUCGACAUCUCAAACUCCCUGCUCAUGUCAUCUGCAAACUUGGCAACCAAAGUAUAAGAGGAACCACCAAAGAUUAUAUCAUCCACGUAAAUCUGAACAACUAGUAAGUCACUGCCUUGCCUAAGGAGAAAAAGAGUUUUAUCAACUGAUCCCAUUUCAAACCCAUUCCCAAGCAAAAAGGAUUUCAACCUAGCAUACCAUGCUCGGGGUGCUUGUUUUAGGCCAUAUGAAGCUUUUCGGAGUUUGAAAACACGAUCAGGAUACUUAGGACUCUCAAAAUCAGGGGGUUGUCUCACAUACACUUCCUCCUCAAUAAAACCAUUUAGGAAGGCACUUUUCACAUCCAUUUGGAAGAUCUUAAAACCUUUAGCCACACAAAAGGUUAGAAGAAUUCUAAUCGCUUCCAAACGAGCAACAGGGGCAAAGGUUUCCUCAUAAUCUAUUCCCUCUUUUCGGCUAAAACCUUGGGCGACCAACCUCGCUUUGUUUCUCACAACCAACCCAUUUUCACCCUGUUUGUUUUUGAAAACCCAUUUUGUUCCUAUGAGGUGGCAGUUUAGAGGUGGUUCAACUAAAACCCAAAUCCUGUUUCUCUCAAAGUUUUCUAACUCCUCAUGCAUGGCAUUGACCCAGUUAGAAUCGGAUAAAGCAUGUCCAAUAUCUCGGGGUUCAAAAGAGGCAACAAAUGCAGAAUGUGCAAAGUGUGAAAUCUGCCUAGAGCUGUGCCUAGUGGUGUGCUCAUGCAAGUUACCGAUCAUCAAUUGUGGAGGAUGGUUACGCUGAAUGUGUCAUGGAGCCUCUCGCUCUGAAAUCGUCUCCCCCUCAACAGCAGCUGGAUCACUCUGACUUUCUUCUUCAUCAUCAUGUAGUGGUACUCGUUGAUGGCUUGAAGUAGUGGUAGUGGAGGUCGGGCCAUCAACCAUUGUAGUCGAAGUAGGAGGUACAGGAACAAUAGCUAGAGCACGAUUCACUUCAUCACCUUCUUCAUCAUCACAAUCAGCACGCUCAUCCUCUUCCUCAAAGAUGCUUUGUCCCAUUUCAUGUUCAACUGCGGUCUCAAAGAUAGGAGUUGUGCAAGGCAUAGUUUCAUCGAAAGUAAUCUCACAGGUUUCCACAAUUCGGUUAGUUUCAAGGUUAAGUACAUGAUAAGCAUGACUAUGAGAAGCAUAACCAAGAAAAAUCCCAUCAGUGGAUCUAGACUCAAAUUUGUCCAAAUUGCCUUGCUUGAGAAUGAAACACUUGCAGCCAAACACCCUCAUGUGACUCACUUUGGGGGGACGUCGAUGCAUCAGCUCAUAUGAAGUUUUCUUCAGGAAAGCUCGCAAGAAGAUUCGAUUGGAAACACAACAAGCAGUGUUAACGGCUUCGGCCCAAUAUUUUCUAGGAGUCCUAUGCUCAUCAAGCAUCAUCCUAGCCAUUUCACAAAGGGUCCGAUUCUUCCGUUCAACAACACCAUUCUGAGGAGGGAUAUAAAGCGAUGAAAACUGGUGUUCAAGACCAAGAUCAUUGCAAAAGGCUUUAAAACGAGCGUUCUUGAAUUCUGUACCAUUGUCACUGCGAAUAGCUCUCAUGGCAUCUUUAGGUCGCUCAUUUUUCAACCUCAAGAUCAAAUCUCAAACAAAAGGAAAUGCCUCCUCCUUAGACUCCUUGAAUAAAACCGUUGAGUACCUUGAAAAGUCAUCAACAACCACAAGCACAUACCACUUCCCACCAACUGAGCAAACGCGAGCUGUACCAACUGUGUCCAUGUGCAUCAGCUCCCCUGGGUGCUCAGUCAUCACCUGAUUCACAGGAGGAUGGGAAGCAGCAACCAUUUUCCCAUGUCGACAAGGAGCACAAAUAAGAUAUUUUUCAAAUUUCAACUUGGGCAAACCACGAAUAAGAUACAAAGUACUCAAGUGGGACAACAAAUCAAAGCUUAGAUGUCCCAACCUCCUAUGCCACCUCCAAAGUUCAGAAGAAGAACCAACAACCAAACACCAAGACAGACCAAAUGACUUGGAAAAAUCAACUCGAAACACCUGACCCUCGAGGACGAUCAUACACACAAGAUCUCCUCGAGAGUCUAAAAUCCUUGAGAUCCCUUAACGGACCUCAAAACCAUCAUCAAGCAGUUGCGACACAGAGAGCAAAUUGAAACCAAGAGAAUCAACAAGAGCAACUUGCUUGAGCAUGAAAUUCUCACUCACCUUGAUAGCACCUUCAGACAACACCUUACCUUUGCUAUUAUCCCUAAAAGUGAUGUACUCCUUGGUCAUCAUCGGGGUGAGGCUGGAGAACCAUCUAUGAUCACCGGUCAUGUGUCUGGAGCAACCAGAGUCAAUGAGCCACGUGUUCUUUAGGCCUCCGACUUGCUCAAAUAAAGGGAGAUCAAGGAUGAGCAAAUGACUCAACACUGGGGUUAGAAAAACAAGUAGAAUACAAGUGUCGAACCAUUUGCUCAAGAGUGAGGUUAGCAAAAUCAACCAUCUCUCAUCUCAUAGGAGGACUACGGCCAACGCUAGGGGAAAAACAUGGUCCAUUGUAGCUCCGAGACUCAAUACCACAACCAUGCUGUCCUGGGCCAUAUUGAUCAUGGCGAGGGGCAUGCCUGGCAAAACCACGCGAAGGAGCAAAAUACACACUAUCCACAUGAUGAGGUGGAGGGACUGCUCUAGGCGCAUGUACACCAUGAGAAGGGUGGUACAUGUCCCUGUUGCCCCACUCACGCUUAUGCCUCAAAGCCUUCUUCUUACGAAAGCAAAACUCCUCAAGGUGACCCCCUUUCUUGCAAUACUCACAGUGGAAUCUAGCAAGUUGUUUUGGCUAUGGAUUCACUCUAGAUUGUGGCUUGGCUUGGGGUUUUGGUGGAGGUUUCUUAGGAGCAAUUUCUGGAAGUGUGUCGAGCUUGUUCUUGAGAUGGUUUGGUUUUUUCACCCAAAUGGUUUUCUUGGGUACUUUGGGUGGUGUCUCAAUGAAAACUCCAUCUCUCACACACUCAGACAAGUUUUGCUUGCAAGCUGGAAUGGGUUGCUCUCUAUUUUUAGUGGGUGACUCUUGAGGGGUGUAGUCAGCUGGUGGCUCACACUGGUUAUAGCUUGGUUUCUUUCUCUCACCACUGUUUUGACCCACCUUUUCACACAACCCGUCAAAGAACUUGUGCAACCCAUUAAAAUGACAACCCUUCAUAACGGACCCAAGCCCAAAACCAUCAGCCCUUUUGAACUCCUGAAUCAUCAUGCCUAGCUGAGGUUCCCUACUUGACACCCAACUAAGAACCAUGCGCAAGUAAGAGUUUUCAUCCUCAGCAUGUUGCAAACUAAGCUUGAGUUCAGGACAAUCAGUGCAUUCAGGAAGUUUAGAUCUAGCAAUGAACUCAGACUUCUCUAAAGCACUAAGCUUAGCACAUGCAUCAUCCAACUGAACUUGCAAAGCGGGGCAAGACUUACAUGCACAAGCAAAAUAGGCCUAGUCUUGACUUCAUCUAAAGCAGCCCUAGUCAAAUCCAAUUCAUCUAUCAACAAAGCAUGCUUAGAUUGUAAAGAUGCAAGACUAUCCAUAUGAACAGCACAUUCAUUACACUCAACAACAUCAGAAACAAUAGGAGCAGAUUUAAGCAUAUCUAUCUCAAUCAACGCACUCUCUAACUUAGCCUUGAGCUCAACUCAUUCACGAGCUGCCUUCUUAAUCAAAUUAUCUUGAUUGAUCAGGCAAUCAUUCAAUUCUUCUAUUUCUAAGACAAGUUGUUCUGGAGUAGCCUUUACCUCUAUUUCUGUGUCGGAGUCGCUUUCCUUGUCAUCCGUCUUGUUGUCGGUGUUGAGGGCCAUGACACAGUACCCAUUGCGGUUCUUGCCGGAGUAGAAGCAAAGGCCGUUGAAGUUCUUGCCAUCCUUCUUCUUCACCUUGCGGUCGUCAUCCUCCUCACUUGAGCUUGAGUUGGUGUGGUCGUCGGUGUCAGAGUCGACAUUGCUGAGGGAGGCGAUGAAGGCGUGUGCUUUGGCCUUCUUGCGGUACUCCUUCUCACGAUCGAUGUACUUCUUCUUCUUCUUGGUGCCGUCCUUGUUCUUGUGCUUGUUGUAGUCAUGCCCGCUCUUGGAUUUGUUCUUCUCGGGGCAGUCAGCGGCGAAGUAGCCUGGCUUGCCACAGUCGAAGUAGGUGUUGUUGUUCCUUCGCCUGUUCUUGCGGUUGCCGUUGAAGCGCAUGAACCGCCGUGUGACCAAGGCGAGCUCAUCAUCGUCAAGAACCUCCAACUGCUCCUCUGAAAUAGAAACCAAGGAAGACAAGGCAAACGACAUAGAAGAAGAGUUCCCCAAAGACUUAGGUUGUCCAGAGCCAGACAUGAGAGCCAUACUAUUUGGAUCAGUAGGGCCUUCUUGUUUUGCUCGGAGCCUCUUGUCAACCUCCGUGGAUUUCAACUUGGCAAAGAGUUCAUCAGCGGAAAGUGUUUCAUAAUUGGGUGACUCGAUGAUAGCAUCAACCUUCAUACCCCACACCUCGUGAUCCAAAGCAUGCAGAAGCUUUAAGUUCUAUCAUGAUCGUUGUAGGGUAAGAUGGUGAUGUUUGCUUUCAUCUUGUUCACAAUAGCAAGAAAGUGCGGAAACAAAGCAUCGACAGACUCUCCAGGCAAAUGAACAAAGUUCUCAUACUCAUGCCUGUAAGUCUCAAAGAGUCUUGCCUUCACCUGACUGUUUCCCUCAUGGAAACUCUGAAGUCUGGACCAAAAAUCUCAUGAGCAAGAGAUAGAUCCUCGACACGGUCAAACUCAGCACGGCACAGACUCGCAAACAAGAUAUCCACCACUUUGUUGUUGGCGUGAUAUUUAUCUCUUUCAUCUUGAGUCAAGCGAGUAGCAGGAAUCACAUAAGUCACAUCCUGAGUGAUUUCCCAAACCCCUGCUCCUCUACUAUUUAGAUGGGCUCUCAUGCGAGUUUUCCAAUACUGAUAGUUAGAGCCAUCAAAGUAGGGUGCAGCGGUCGAGGUAGAAUGCUCAUAGGUCGCCAUAAUAGGUUUCGAAACCGAUUAGGGUAUGGAGAAACCUUAACUAGCUCUGAUACUAAUUGAAGGACCGAAAAGGCGACCAGAGGGGGGGGGUGAAUGGGAGCCUCAAAUAUUCCUUCUGAAGACUUAGGCCUCUGUCCCAAAUUCAAACCUCAAAACCGAAGCGAGCGGAAGACGAGAUAUCCACGAGCCAACUGGGUGGCUGGGUGUCUAUGGUGAUGACCGAUAAACACAGCGGGACUCUCAAGAAACAACUGGAAGCAAACCCUAAAGAUCCGGAAAGCAAACUCCAAAGAUCUGAGUCAAAACAGGACUCAAAAUGCUUCUAUCAGAACUUCCGACACCCUAUCGGAAGUUGCGAUUCCUAUCGAAGGUACCGGGAAACUCUCGACAGGAAUUCUCUGUCGUUUCAGACAAUUUCCCUUCGGAACUUACGACACAGUGUUGGAACUUCCGACAGCACUGAAAUCAGCCUUCGUGAGGAGAGAAGAAAAAUCCAAAACUCAAUCAAACGAUCUUAAAAAAUCACGAAAUUUUAACCAUAGCUUCCGAACAACAUAAAAAACAUGUUCCCAAAAUAUCUCCUCAAAAAGAUCAGCCAAUCAAAGGGAAUUAAAUAUCUCGUGAUGAACCCCACUCUUUCAACCCUAGAACUUGAAUUGCCCCGAUCUAUGAACUCGUGAGGUUUCAAUCUAAUCCCUUUGGUGGAAAGGUUCAACUCAUAUCCUAGUACAUUUCCAAAAUACCGGUUUGACUCAAGAACUCCUAGAAACCACGAAUCAAUGAAAAACGUGAGAGGGUGAAAAAGGGAGAAAACAAGAACGCGAAGAACACAAGCGAAAAUUGCACAAAGCCAUCAUCCUCCAACACACGGAGGACACGAGGAGGUUAGGGCCUCCAUUCCCGCAACAAAAACUCAGUUCAAUACAUGAAUUCGGUGCUCAAAACAUCUGAGGACCUCUAGAGAGAUAAACUAGAGAGAGAGAGACUAGACUAAUGAACUCCUAAAACCCUAGAUAGAUGAAGUGCUUAGAGAGGUGCUGAAACAACCAGCCCCCCAUCUCUAUUUAUAGUUCCAAACUAGUUACUAAACUACCCCUACAACUACUACUAGGAUAACUACCCACGCAGGGGUAUUUUGG